rnacentral:rRNA from 1 species
AACGAACGCUGGCGGCAUGCCUAACACAUGCAAGUCGAACGAGACCUUCGGGUCUAUUGUCGCACGGGUGCGUAACGCGUGGGAAUCUGCCCUUGGGUUCGGAAUAACAGUUGGAAACGACUGCUAAUACCGGAUGAUGACGUAAGUCCAAAGAUUUAUCGCCCAAGGAUGAGCCCGCGUAGGAUUAGCUAGUUGGUUAGGUAAAGGCUCACCAAGGCGACGAUCCUUAGCUGGUCGGAGAGGAUGAUCAGCCACACUGGGACUGAGACACGGCCCAGACUCCUACGGGAGGAAGGAGUGGGGCAUAUUGGACCAUGGGCGAAAGCCUGAUCCAGCACUGCCGGGUGAGUGAUGAAGGCGUUAGGGUUGUAAAGCUCUUUUACCCGGGAUGAUAAUGACAGUACCGGGAGAAUAAGCUCCGGCUAACUACGUG